GAGUUUGAUCGUGGCUCAGAACGAACGCUGAUGGCGUGCCUCAUACAUGCAAGUCGAGCGGGUAGCAAUACCAGCGGCGAACGGGUGAGUAACGCGUGAACAAUCUGCCUCAAAGUGGGGGAUAACCAUUCCAACGGAUGGCUAAUACCGCAUAGGGUUUGGAAGCGGCAUCGCUUCUUCACGAAAGCAUUUAUGCGCUUUGAGAUGAGUUCGCGUCCCAUUAGCUAGUUGGCGGGGUAACGCCCACCAAGGCGACGAUGGGUAGCCGGCCUGAGAGGGUGUCCGGCCACAUUGGGACUGAGAUACGGCCCAGACUCCUACGGGAGGCAGCA
rnacentral:rRNA from 1 species